GCAUUAAAAUCAUCGUAUAUACAAUACGUUCAACUUACAUCCUGUAGAUGGGCCUUUGAAGCUUUAAUAGUUUGGAGCUAUAUUAUCAAAAAACGCACACGGAUUCAACCAUCCCAAAAUACUUUUUCUACCAUGCAUAUAUUAGAUAUGUAUAAAUAACUUAUAAACUUGUACAUAUCUUAAGCCCAGAUUUUCUCAGGGGGGGGCAACAAUUUUGCCAGGGAACUUCACUGGCUAUCGUAUGUUAGAGGCUCCAAAGGCCGUAGAAACCCUGUGAUGUUGUCCACUGUUCACCCCGUGUUCUUUUAAGCAAAUGUGCCUGCUCAAAAAUGCAAAAUCUUGCAAGCCUGUGGACACAAUACUGAAGUGAAGCGGAAGAAUUUUUUUUGAGCGCUCUCUUUUGCAUGAUAUUUUUUUUCUCGAUUGUUUGCUGCAUGAUUUUUUUUUCGAUGAUUUUUUUUUCAUGAAUUUUUUUUCGAAAUCUUCCAACCCCCCUCAUACGUCAAAUGGUCCGCCCCAAGGUGGACCAUUCAGCUACAAAUGCUGCUAUCCAGAGGGAAUGAGGUAUUUUGUAUUUAUAAGACUAGAAACACCGGCAUGCAGCAAUUCCUCGCCUUUCUCAACCGAUGAAAUAUAU